ensembl:snRNA U6 U6 spliceosomal RNA
CUGCUUGCUUUGGAAGCACGUAUAUUAAAAUUGGAAUAAUACAGAGAAGAUUUGUAUGGCCCUGCACAAGGAUGACAUGCAAAUUCAUGAAACAUUCCAUUUUUUU